AUUGAACGCUGGCGGCAUGCCUUACACAUGCAAGUCGAACGGCAGCACGGGUGCUUGCACCUGGUGGCGAGUGGCGAACGGGUGAGUAAUACAUCGGAACAUGUCCUGUAGUGGGGGAUAGCCCGGCGAAAGCCGGAUUAAUACCGCAUACGAUCUACGGAUGAAAGCGGGGGACCUUCGGGCCUCGCGCUAUAGGGUUGGCCGAUAGCUGAUUAGCUAGAUGGUGGGGUAAAGGCCUACCAAGGCGACGAUCAGUAGCUGGUCUGAGAGGACGACCAGCCACACUGGGACUGAGACACGGCCCAGACUCCUACGGGAGGCAGCAGUGGGGAAUUUUGGACAAUGGGCGAAAGCCUGAUCCAGCAAUGCCGCGUGUGUGAAGAAGGCCUUCGGGUUGUAAAGCACUUUUGUCCGGAAAGAAAUCCUUGGCUCUAAUACAGUCGGGGGAUGACGGUACCGGAAGAAUAAGCACCGGCUAACUACGUG
rnacentral:rRNA from 1 species